rnacentral:lncRNA from 1 species
AAUAAGUAUAAAUAUCUAACUAGAAAUUGUUCUUUCUGUAGAUAAUCAUAUCGAGUUCAAAUCCUUUAGGUCGUAUCCUUGACACAAAUAGGUUGAUCGAGAUAAACUACAAAGACUAGCUUUAAAAUUUGAGAAUCGUUCUCAGUUUUGAAAAGCUAACUCAUAUCUUAGACCAGGAUGCAUCUGUAUUACCAACUCGUCCAUCCCCA